CCAGUUACAUUGGGGGUUGGCAAGGCCAAUGCCGGAGCCCAGUGCACAGUCCAGGGCCUGUUAUUUAGGCCAAUUUGUCCAA